rnacentral:rRNA from 2 species
AGAGUUUGAUCAUGGCUCAGAUUGAACGCUGGCGGCAGGCCUAACACAUGCAAGUCGAACGGUAACAGGAAGCAGCUUGCUGCUUUGCUGACGAGUGGCGGACGGGUGAGUAAUGUCUGGGAAACUGCCUGAUGGAGAGGGAUAACUACUGGAAACGGUAGCUAAUACCGCAUAACGUCGCAAGACCAAAGAGGGGGACCUUCGGGCCUCUUGCCAUCGGAUGUGCCCAGAUGGGAUUAGCUAGUAGGUGGGGUAACGGCUCACCUAGGCGACGAUCCCUAGCUGGUCUGAGAGGAUGACCAGCCACACUGGAACUGAGACACGGUCCAGACUCCUACGGGAGGCAGCAGUGGGGAAUAUUGCACAAUGGGCGCAAGCCUGAUGCAGCCAUGCCGCGUGUAUGAAGAAGGCCUUCGGGUUGUAAAGUACUUUCAGCGGGGAGGAAGGCGAUAAGGUUAAUAACCUUGUCGAUUGACGUUACCCGCAGAAGAAGCACCGGCUAACUCCGUGCCAGCAGCCGCGGU